UGGGAACCUGGGGAGGACUGCACCAGCUGCAAAGUGGGAGGAAGCAGUGCAAGGAGCCAGAGCCUCCAAGGACAAAAUGCUAGAACCAGCUGCUCUUUGAGAGGGGCCUGGAGGUCAAUGAAGGAUUGGCUAUAGGCAUUGUCUUCGGUGUGAGAUCUAAGACACAAAUUGAUCUGGGGGUUUACCAACCCUGCACUGGGCCAAUGGGGUGGGACCAAUCACUGUGAGCCCAGGAAGCCACACCCCCUAACCCCUGCUACACAUGCUCCAGGUAGAAGGGACAGAUAAAAGGAGACAUCCCAGCUCAGUCUGGGCUGGUUGAGGAGAAGGAAGGAUGUGUGUUGCAAGCUCCUGCAGAAACACCUGAAACUCCAAGAGGCGAAAACUGUGGACCAGGAUUAGGCUGCAGACAACCAGACGACCACAGAGAUUUAUGGGGACACCGAGCCGCUGCCAGCCAGGAAGAAGCCUGAGGUGCACCUUGCGGUAGGAAGUGACCCAGGGAAUGUAGUAGAAGUGGAUGCUUAAACCCUUAACAGGGAAUUUCCCAGCUUCAUAGGGCCCUGAGUUGGAACCUGGUGAAGCAGGAUGGGCCUGGGUUCCCCCACCUCUCCCCACUUUCCACUAGAUGUGACUACUGCUUGUUUGCGCUACCCCGCCCAGGGGCUACAAACUGACUGUUUGUUCUGCCCUGCCCAGAGGGUCAGAACCCCCGAUUGCUAUUGCCUGUCCCAACCAGGAGGCUCAGGGGCCAUACACUGUUUGUUUGCCCUGCCCACCCAGGGGCUACAGACUGCUUGUUCUGCCCUACCCAGGGGCUACAGGUUGAUUGUUUGCUUGACCUUGCCAGAGGUCCUGAGCCUGCCUUGUAGCAAUAUCUGAUCCCACAGGGAGUCCUGAUGACUGUGUGAUGGGGUGUACCAACCCUGCACUGGGCCAACAGCGACGGCCCCUUUUGACAAGCAGGAUUCCCCCAUCACAUUGCUAAUAAAGUUGUUCAUUUUAAUCU